UAUUCUGUCCUUUUACCCUAACACUGAAUUAGUUCUCACUCACUGGUUCCUCUUUGCUUCCUGGAUUUAUCUCCAUCUCUGCCUACUCUUUCUCUCUCUUCUCUUCAUCUCUCUCUUCCUGAGACCUGCUGUGGUGCCCUGUAUGCCAGAGUGGAGCCGGCAUGUAACACCCCCACUCUGGCUGUUAACAGAGCUGUGGCAGGUGGGAUUGCUGGACCCAGUCGGUCUCCCCCCAUCCCUCUCUCUUUCUUUCUCUCUCACUUUCUCCUCAUCUCCUCGUUCGCUUUUAUUCAUUUCUGUGUAUGGGCAAGGAGGGCUAACAUGGACUCUUUGGGUCUUUUUAUCCUUCUAAUGCUUCUGUGUUUCCAGUGGACAACUGCCCCUGCUGCUGAGGAAGUUACCUGGACCUACACUGGCUUGGUGGGUCAGUCCGAGUGGUCGCAGUAUUUCCCCGACUGUGGUGGUACUUCUCAGUCCCCUGUUGAUGUGGUAACCACCCAGACUAAAUAUGACCCUAGUUUGAUCCCUCUGACCCCACUGGGCUACAGCCAGCACGGCAACAAGCCCUUCACUCUGUACAACAACGGACACACAGCGGUCAUUGACCUGCCAGACUGGAUGGGACUGGGGGGGCUGCCCUGGCUCUUUACAGCUGUGCAGAUGCACCUCCACUGGGGCAGCGGCGGCCCGAGUCACGGGGGCAGUGAACACACCAUCAACGGACUGAGUGCAGAUGCAGAGCUACAUGUGGUGCACUACAACUCUGAGCUCUACCCCAACAUGUCCACAGCAAUGACGCAGAGUGACGGCUUGGCUGUUUUAGGAAUUCUCAUUGUGACAGGUGAGGAGACCAACCUGGCAUUUAACAACAUCCUCCACUACCUGAGCCGCAUCAGACAUGCUGAUCAGAAGGUGUCCAUCCCAGCCUUUGACAUCCAGUCACUGUUCCCUAAGGAUCUGGGGCGCUACUAUCGCUACAAUGGCUCCCUAACGACGCCGCCCUGCUACCAGAGUGUGAUCUGGACACUGUUCAAUGAGAGGGUUCAAAUCUCAAAGGCACAGCUGCUAAAGAUGGAGACGAUACUUUACACCAGUAAAGUCGAAGAUCCAGUCAGAAUGCUGCUGCAGGACAACUACCGCGCGACACAGCUGCUCAACCACAGGGUCGUCUUCGCCUCCUUCACUGCAGAAUCAGGAAAGGAGCUCUCUUCUGGUGAAGUCACAGCUAUAGUAAUAGGAGUGAUGUGUGGCUGUGUAGGUCUGGCUGUAAUCAUUCGCUUCAUCGUAAAGACCAUACGAUUUUUUACACUCCUCCACCGUGAAUCAGUCGCGGUAAACAGGUGGUUUACCUGCUCUCAUUACUGACAAGGAAGCACAACUUGCACUGACACUCUACCUCUAGCUGGGACGUCCUACCCAGUAACCGGCCUGCUCCCAUGUCAAGGACGAAGGGGCCAGAGAAAGCGAAAGACAAAAAACAAGACAUGGCUCUGAACUCGACCCCUAAAGCAGAAAAGAAAGAAGAACCCUCACCGUCUCCUCAGACUGAGCCCUAGCUGACGGCACUUCAGGGCUUCAGUCCAGACACAUGCAAAACACCCUCUUCUUCCCUCUUGCCAAUAAUGUUAUCACCGAUCCAACAUGUUUUUCCUCAUCAGUUACAAAAGGCAACAGGAAAAACAUUUUACAUAGUAAACUGGACACAGAACAAAUAACCUGCUGCCCUGAUCACUCACUGUUUACAGUAUUUUUUCUCCCACCCAAAUUCAGAAACCCCAGUCUUGGUAUCAGAUGUGUUGUUUUUUUUUCAGUUUGCAUGUGAAGCACUAGGUGUAAAUACGUCAGUGGCUCUGAGUCGUAUGUUUGCUCUUGCAAUGCCAGGGAUGCAUGAUUGGUUCAUGUAAAUACUUUGUAAAAUAUAUUUAGUUUUUUGUUUCACGUUUGACUGUUAUUUCAUCUUCCUGCUUUGAAACACACGCACACUACAAAGGUAUACCAUGUAAUUGUCUUAUGAAAUAUGUACCUGUGUAUUCAUACUCAAUGUAAUAUCAUUAUUUUCUUUUGCCCCUGGACUUAAACACCGACACACAGACAGUCCUAGCAAAUGGAAAUCUACGAUGAAGGUUUUAAGGGAUUUACAGUGCCAUGUAUAAACUGAUGCUGUCCAAACUUUAUGUCUCUGAAGUCAGUAUAGCGCAUUAUAUUGUAAAUGGAUGAGUUAUAUUUAUGUACAUGUUCUCAUUCUAUUGGAAACACUGUUUUUGGUGCCACAUAUCUUUGUCUGAUUGAUUUUUUUUUUUUUUGCUGUAUAUAACUCGUCAACAUGGGCACCUCAUUAAAAUACUUGAAUGGCAACCUCA